AAGGUUAUACUUAUAUAGAGCUCCCAAUCAAAGAAGAAGGACUAAGUGUUAUUUUAGGGAGAGCACUUUAUUGAAAAUUUAAAUAAAUUAGAAGUAAGGAUACUUUCAGUAGAGAUGAGACUUUUGCAUCACAUGGUAACCAAACUUUUUGUCCCUAGGAGUGGCAGGCAUGACCUCUUAUCUAGUAGGGAUAUAUGCAUCAUAUACUAUGUGAUCACUGAGACCCCCUUGAACCUUCCUACUCUGAUGAUUGAGGCCAUGAGAGAGAUUCUAAAUAGGUCUAAGGCUCACCUGUCUUAUGGUAUGGCACUUACCCUGGUCUUUAGGAGGUUCGGAGUCUGUUUUGAGGAGGCAGUCACCAGAUUAUCAUAUUAUGACACCAUCAACCAUCACACACUGCACCGCAUGAGUUUUUCAAAGACUGUUGACGGUUGGUCGAAGGGUGUUGAGGAGAGAGCAGA
rnacentral:lncRNA from 1 species